CGUAUGUAGGUGGCUUGCCAAGUCCUUUGUCAAAGCGUGGAGCUUAACUCCAUAACGGCGAGGGAAACUGGUAGGCUAGAGUACAGUAGGGGUAGGAGGAAUCCCGGUGUAGCGGUGAAAUGCGUAGAUAUCGGGAAGAACACCAGUGGCGAAAGCGUCCUACCAAGCUGUAACUGACACUGAGGUACGAAAGCUAGGGGAGCGAAUGGGAUUAGAUACCCCAGUAGUCCUAGCCGUAAACGAUGGGUACUAGGUGUUGACCGAACCACUCGGUCGGUGCCGUAGCUAACGCGUUAAGUACCCCGCCUGGGGAGUACGGUCGCAAGAUUGAAACUCAAAGGAAUUGACGGGGGCCCGCACAAGCGGUGGAGUAUGUGGUUUAAUUCGAUGCAACGCGAAGAACCUUACCAGGGCUUGACAUCCUGCGAAUCCUGCCGAAAGGUGGGAGUGCCGUAAGGAGCGCAGAGACAGGUGGUGCAUGGCUGUCGUCAGCUCGUGUCGUGAGAUGUUGGGUUAAGUCCCGCAACGAGCGCAACCCUCGUUCUCAGUUGCCAGCAUUCAGUUGGGCACUCUGGGGAGACUACCGGUGACAAACCGGAGGAAGGUGGGGAUGACGUCAAGUCCUCAUGGCCCUUACGCUCAGGGCUACACACGUGCUACAAUGGUGAUAACAAAGAGAUGCAAACCCGCGAGGGGGAGCGAACCUCAUAAAUUUCACCUCAGUUCGGAUUGCAGUCUGCAACUCGACUGCAUG
rnacentral:rRNA from 1 species